GCCGGGAUGCCCGAGUGGACCAUGGGGUCGGCCUGGAGAGCCGAUGGGGCUCUGCCCCGCGUGGGUUCGAAUCCCACUCCCGGCG
rnacentral:tRNA from 1 species